rnacentral:rRNA from 1 species
GUGCCAGCAGCCGCGGUAAUACGUAGGUGGCAAGCGUUGUCCGGAAUUACUGGGCGUAAAGGAUGUGUAGGCGGAUAUUUAAGUGAGAUGUGAAAUCCCCGGGCUCAACUUGGGGGGUGCAUUUCAAACUGGGUAUCUAGAGUGCAGGAGAGGAAAGCGGAAUUCCUAGUGUAGCGGUGAAAUGCGUAGAGAUUAGGAAGAACAUCAGUGGCGAAGGCGGCUUUCUGGACUGUAACUGACGCUGAGGCAUGAAAGCGUGGGGAGCAAACAGGAUUAGAUACCCUGGUAGUCCACGCCGUAAACGAUGAGUACUAGGUGUAGGAGGUAUCGACUCCUUCUGUGCCGCAGUUAACACAAUAAGUACUCCGCCUGGGAAGUACGGUCGCAAGAUUAAA